rnacentral:lncRNA from 1 species
AACACUUCCUUCUACAUCGGGCGCCGUCGCCUCAACUGCGCGUGGGGGGCGAGGCGCCCACCCCGCACAAGAACAGAGGAGCGGGGGAGAAGAGACGGCCUCGCUGCUCACUGGGUAAGCGGAGCCCAGCCCCGCUCGGGAGCGGGCAGGAGAGACAGGGUAGUGACCCCCACUCACACCAGAAAACCCCUCCCCCCGGCGAUUUUGCUGCCAACUCGAGUCGGCUACAGACAGUCCAGUGAGUCCUUAAUUACAAGGACGAGAGAAAAGCACGGUGCCCCUCGAGUCCUCUCCGCCCCCUCGGUCCUAACCCCCGCCCAGGCUCCAGGUCUUCCCCUUUGUGUGGCCUGGACUCUCUCCCAGCUACGACUUUGGUGGGAUCCAAAAGGAAGGAGGUGGCGGGGCCUACGGAAGAGGAUACCCAGGAGCCAGGGAGAAGGGCUAGAAAACGAAUAAUGUGACUCCAGAGGCGGAACCCCGACCCCCUCUAUUUCCCACCCCGGCUUCACCCGGAGACGAAAGCUGUGGGCAUCUUCAGUUUAACGGACUUCGCGGAAAAGGAGAGAAGGGGGGCGAGGGAAAUGGCAGUUUGUGUCCCAGGGGUUCUUCCCCUUCUUCUUGCCGCCUCCUAAAGACAAACAAACUCAACCCCCCACCCUCCGGGGUAUCAGGGAACUCGUGGGACCGUGAAAAAGUCGUUCCCAAAUCCGGCCGCCUGCGGACGUCGGACUUCCGCGGGGCCGGCGCCCGUUGGCGUCUGUAGCUCGGCGCAGCCACGCGGGGCUCCAGCGAGCGGGGUCCGCCACCCCUCGCGCCCUCCUGCGGCUUUCCCAGCGCUGGGCCAGUGCAGGCCGAGCCCUGCGUCCCUGCCUCGCUGGGUGGGGGUCCGGGGCGCGGCUGUCCACAGGGCCGCCUCCUCCUGCGGCCCGCGGGGAAGGGGCGCAUCCCACCCCGCUCUGCAGGCCGCCCUUCUGCCAGCUGGGAGGCGAGGGCACACGUCCUAAGGCUGCCCAAGGGGGAGAGGAAUCGCGCCGGUAGGAGAGCGCACGGGAACCAGGAACGCAAGGCGGGCACAGGGGAGCCGAAGGAGCCAGACAGGGCCCGGCCACGCGCCCUCCUCGCUCGGCUGCGCUCCGUGACGGGAACCCAGGCUCCCACGCACGGGGAAUGCCUAGAACGGAGCUAGAAUGGAGGCCCCUUUGUGUGACUAAAUUUGGCAAGAAUAUGGAUCUGAGCCAGUCUUUCCACGUGUGCUCCCAGCUCCCAGCUGAGAAGGCCAAGGGUUCUCUUCCGGUGCUCCAGGAAAGUACCUGAUUGACAAGAUCUACAUCCAAUGCCCAGAAAACACAUCCUACACAGGCACAGUGAAGCGUGGAGUUGAAGAAUUUUCCAGUGAGUUCCAUCAAAGUAAAUAAACCAACCUAGAGCAUCAGGAUUGAGCCUCCUUUUUCUCAUGACAUGACUUUUGAGUGUCCUUGGGAAUGGUUUGUAUUUGUUUUCAUUUGAAACUGGGUAACUGCUUUAAAUCCUUAUUUACCUCUCAGAGGAAGAACUUGGCCUGUAUGACAUUUGACCUUGAGGAUGCUUUCUGUUUUAAAGCACUUCUGUCCAUAAAAACAGACUCCUUGAGUGAGGUUACCUGUACUCAUAUAUACAUUUAUCCAAGACACAGCCAAUUUCUAGUUCCUUCCUUAGCUUUGUCUUGCUUGUAUGGCUACGCUUAAACUCAGAAUUAACAACGAUGGGAGUGAAUUCAGAUGGUAGAGACAGCCAGUGCAAAUAGUUUAGGCUACAAAAUUGUCAUCUGGCUCCACCAAACACUUUUCUUUGGCCAAAAUAAAGCUAAUUUGCC